AGCCAACAGACUUCAGAGCGGCACAAUCAGGGUCCUCAGGAGGCCUGGAGGCAGCGAGUGGAAGAUGGCUGCUUUCUCGUCUGCGGUUCUAUGGAAGGAGGUGCACUCUAUCCUACAGAAAGAUGUGUUCCAGAGGCCGGGGAACACUCUGGCUUGAUUUAGAAAGCAUCUCUAUAGAGCCGAGUGGUGCAGUACCCUGGUGUAAAGUCCCUGGCCACACAGCACAUUUUCUUUCAUUCUGAGCUGAGCUACUGAAAAUCAACAGUGUGUUUGGAAUAAGAGAGGUUGAGGCUCACUGAAGAGGGAAGAUGGGCCGUGAACUGGGAAGAAGAGAGGGAUGGCGAUUCUUUUAACCCACAGUAGGAAUAUAUUAUAUAGUGACCAAAUGUCCGUAGAGGAGAAAGCUGAUGUGAAUCACUGUGGACAACCUUGAAGCCAAGAAUCAGGGACACUGUCGCCAAGAGCUCUGCCUGGCCUGGGUCACAUGGGCCAAUCCCAAGGGCCGGCUCUGGUUACAUUUUCUUCUGCUUUAAGAAGGGAGUGAUCCCAGCAUCCCAGAACAAUUGGUUGAACUGCCAUUGCCUUCUGCUUCCCUGACUCCCCGGGAGAGUCCAGAGCUCUGCAGCAAAGGAGCAUGUUAGAUCUUCCUGUUGCUUCUUGUUUCUCUCUGUAAACUUGAAUGCAGCAUCUGUUGUCUGCUAGACAUUACCAACCAGUGCUAUGUCCUCUGAUUGCUUCCUAGUGGUAUCAAUUUGCCAUCUGUCCUUGUUUUAAAGAUUAACACAAUUUUAUCCCGGCUCUAUCUCAUCAUAAAGAAGUUUCUGGAAGAU
rnacentral:lncRNA from 1 species